UACGUAGGGUGCGAGCGUUGUCCGGAAUUAUUGGGCGUAAAGAGCUUGUAGGCGGUCUGUCGCGUCGGGUGUGAAAUCCCGGGGCUCAACCCCGUGACUGCAUCCGAUACUGUCAGGCUAGAGGUAGGUAGGGGAGAUCGGAAUUCCUGGUGUAGCGGUGAAAUGCGCAGAUAUCAGGAGGAACACCGGUGGCGAAGGCGGAUCUCUGGGCCUUACCUGACGCUCAGGCGCGAAAGCUAGGGGAGCGAACAGG
rnacentral:rRNA from 1 species